CCUGGUUCCACCCGGCCCUGAGCUCACGGAAGGGCUGGCUGCCCGCAGGGAAGGAGCUCUGCUUGAGGUCUGCUCCUGGGUGGGCUUUUGUGUGCCCUGUUCCUCAGGAAGGGGUAAGCAGUGCUGGGGUUAUUUGCUAGAUGGAGUGCGCUUGUGUUUCUUGGCUUCCUGAAAGCUGUGUGUGUCUUUUUCACUGCUGGCUGGAGAGACUCGGGGGAGAAAGCGUUGUGCUUGAUGGCACGGUUUCCUUGGGCAAAGGAUGCUUUGGCAGCAGAGGUUUGCUGUCAGGAGGCAUGAAAGCACUGAAGCCAAUGCUGCCGUGCCCUGGGCCCAGAGACAUCAGCUCCCAGCACGUCCCUGGCGGUGGAUGUGUGCAAGCUCUGUGUCUGCCAGUGGUUGCUGCAAAGGCUUUGUGGUCAGCUGUGCGUGGCAGUUUUGCUCUUGAGGGCGUGGGAACAGAGGGCAACACGCUGAUGGGAGUGAUGGUGUCCUGCUCAGCAAUGGAUGUGCUGGGUGGCAGAAGAGGAUUCUUGGCCGAGCGUGGAAAAUCUCUCUGCUCCUUCCUGAAGGACACAGUAUUCCACUUGGAAAGGGCCUCCAACGAUUUCUGGUAUCCUCUGAGAGCUCUGAGCUGCCACACCAAUUUGAAGCUGACUUCAUUUUUGGUCUUCCCCUUCAGCAGAAAAGCUCAGACAGCCGAGCCAAGCGAGACGCUGGAUUUCCUUUGGCAUCAAGGAAAGCAUCGUGAGAUGUUCUGAUGCCCUCUCACAAUUCUUUCUCCCUCCGCCAGCACCAGAGCUGGCGUCCAAAGACGCAAUGACACUGCCACAGGCAUUGUGGAGAUUUGUAUGGGAUAGGCCCAUGGUAAGGCUUUAUUGACAGAGGGAGGGACAAUGAAGAUUGGAUGUCAGGGAGAAGGUCUUUCCAGAGACGGUGGUGAGAUGCUGGAAGUGGAUGCCCAGAGAGCUUGUGGACGCCGCGUCCGUGGCAGUGUUGAAGGCCAGGUUGGAUUGGGCACUCGGCAGCCUAGUCUAGGAUUAGAUAUGAUGCAGAUGGGAUUCAAGCAUCUGUUUUGCAGCCAGCUCGAGUGGAGCUCUUGGAGCUCAUGGG
rnacentral:lncRNA from 1 species